UACGUAGGGGGCAAGCGUUGUCCGGAAUCAUUGGGCGUAAAGCGCGUGUAGGCGGUUCGGUAAGUCGGCUGUGAAAGUCCAGGGCUCAACCCUGGGAUGCCGGUCGAUACUGCCGGACUAGAGUUCGGAAGAGGCGAGUGGAAUUCCCCGGUGUAGCGGUGAAAUGCGCAGAUAUCGGGAGGAACACCAAUGGCGAAGGCAGCUCGCUGGGACGUUACUGACGCUGAGACGCGAAAGCGUGGGGAGCGAACAGG
rnacentral:rRNA from 1 species